UACGUAGGGGGCGAGCGUUACCCGGAAUCACUGGGCGUAAAGGGAGCGUAGGUGGCCUGACAUGUCGACUGUGAAAACCCGGAGCUCAACUCCGGACUUGCAGUUGGUACGGGCAGACUAGAGUGUGGUAGGGGAGACUGGAAUUCCUGGUGUAGCGGUGAAAUGCGCAGAUAUCAGGAGGAACACCGAUGGCGAAGGCAGGUCUCUGGGCCACUACUGACGCUGAGAAGCGAAAGCAUGGGGAGCGAACAGGAUUAGAUACCCGGGUA
rnacentral:rRNA from 1 species